UACGUAGGGUGCGAGCGUUAAUCGGAAUUACUGGGCGUAAAGCGUGCGCAGGCGGUCUGUUAAGACCGAUGUGAAAUCCCCGGGCUUAACCUGGGAACUGCAUUGGUGACUGGCAGGCUUUGAGUGUGGCAGAGGGAGGUAGAAUUCCACGUGUAGCAGUGAAAUGCGUAGAUAUUGCUCGGAAGGCCAGAGCCGAAGGGGCCCUACUGGUACGUAACUGACACUGAGGCACGAAAGCGUGGGGAGCAAACAGG
rnacentral:rRNA from 1 species